GAUGAACGCUGGCGGCGUGCCUAAUACAUGCAAGUCGAGCGAACAGGCGAGGAGCUUGCUCCUCUGACGUUAGCGGCGGACGGGUGAGUAACACGUGGAUAACCUACCUAUAAGACUGGGAUAACUUCGGGAAACCGGAGCUAAUACCGGAUAAUAUAUUGAACCGCAUGGUUCAAUAGUGAAAGACGGUUUUGCUGUCACUUAUAGAUGGAUCCGCGCCGCAUUAGCUAGUUGGUAAGGUAACGGCUUACCAAGGCGACGAUGCGUAGCCGACCUGAGAGGGUGAUCGGCCACACUGGAACUGAGACACGGUCCAGACUCCUACGGGAGGCAGCAGUAGGGAAUCUUCCGCAAUGGGCGAAAGCCUGACUGAGCAACGCCGCGUGAGUGAUGAAGGUCUUCGGAUCGUAAAACUCUGUUAUUAGGGAAGAACAAAUGUGUAAGUAACUAUGCACGUCUUGACGGUACCUAAUCAGAAAGCCACGGCUAACUACGUG
rnacentral:rRNA from 1 species